rnacentral:snRNA from 1 species
CGACUCUGGUUUCUCUUCAUUACGCACAAGCCUUUCACUAAAGACUUCCGUGGAGAGGAACACUUACGAGUUCAACGUAUUUUUGGAAGGGCUUUGCUUCUGGCAGAGCC